rnacentral:sRNA from 1 species
UUCUAGCCCCGAUAGCAGUGGAAAUCCUUUUUCUGGCUUCUUUAGCCAGAAAAAGAUUGUAACGGAUAGCGGGAAAUAGC